rnacentral:rRNA from 1 species
CCCUUAGAUGUUCUGGGCCGCACGCGAGCUACACUGAUGCAUUCAACAAGCCUAGCCUUGACCGAGAGGUCCGGGUAAUCUUUGAAACUGCAUCGUGAUGGGGCUAGAUUAUUGCAAUUAUUAAUCUUCAACGAGGAAUGCCUAGUAAGCGUGAUUCAUCAAAUCGCGUUGAUUACGUCCCUGCCCUUUGUACACACCGCCCGUCGCUCCUACCGAUUGAAUGUGUUGGUGAGGAGCUCGGAUUGGCAGCAGUUGGUGGUUCGCCACCGGCUAUUGCUGAGAAGUCCUCCAAACCGCCCCAUUUAGAGGAAGGAGAAGUCGUAACA